UCCCACGUGGUGUAACGGUAGCACAUCAGACUCUGACUCUGCUUGUCGUGGUUCGAAUCCAUGCGUGGGAA
rnacentral:tRNA from 1 species